ACCUGCCUUCCAGCCUGUCCUUGUGUCCCAGCAAGUCUCAGCAAGGCCAUCAUGCUUGAAACCGUCCUCCGAUGUAUCCUCCUUUUCUCACUACUUUUAAUGUGAUCCAGCAGUAUUUGAUUAUGGUCCAAUUCUUUAUUGGAUUAUUGCAUCUCAUGAAGGCUGUGGUUUGCCAGUCAUUAUGAUUGAGUUCAUAUACCUUAUGUUGCUGAGGAAGUUGCAUUUGACUAUCUUACCAAAAAGUAUAGGCCCCUUGACCCACUGCUGCCUACUGGAUUAGUGUCCAGAAAACCAAUCACUUUCUUCUAAAGCAGGACAACUAACUCUAAGAUGCAAACCUUUGCCUCGUCCGCAUUCGUGAGCUGCCCACAGAGCAGGAACCCUUCAUACUGGCUCCAGGGAACCACGGGCUCUGGGAGGUCUCGGAGGUAGAGCUUUAACAGGGAAGCCACAGUGUGCACAUCUGUGUCUCUGGAAGAAAAUAAGCAACACUCUGUGAAACUCUUUGAAAGAAAAACUUUAGGAUGUUCCUCUCUUCCAUCCUGAUGAUUCAGUGAAUAGAACCAUAAAUUACAAAGGGAGAUUUUGCAGAGGAGUAGAGUCUAAUAAAGAAGAAUCAGACCAAAACAUUUUUGUUAAUUCGCCCUUCUGGAACAACAUUCUUGAAUAAAUGUUCCUCUGUCUCUUCCACCCAACUACCUCAAAGAUAAUGCAAGUUCUGAAGUUCUGAAUGAAAAAAAUUAAGUGAUAUUUACUAUUCUACAGCGACUUGUUGAGGCUCCACGAAUGAUGUGGCCAGUCCUGCUUGGGACGCUUCAUUGUUAAGAGAUCUGGUAGAGAAGGAGACUUCAUGAAAGCAGACUCAGAAAGAGUAACUAAUGAGGAAGUGAUUUUUAUCUGGAAUCUUACUUUUUAUCUGUGAAGACACAAAGUUGACUACAUUAUUAAUCACUUUCAUUACCAUGCUGGGCAUUUCAGGCCACAGAAGAACGAGAUUGGGAUAAUUUUGUGCUGGCCAGAAAACUGGUUAAAUCCAGGGUUUUCUGGGGAGAAAUAAUGAAAAUAGACCACAUUUAUUGGUGGAAAUGCAACUGCAUUGUCCGCGGGCACUCUCUACUGGCUCUAAAUCAGAAUAACAAUGUGGCAUUAGAAGCUUGAUUUGUGGCUUUUUGGAAGGAGCAUAUAGACUUGAAUGAACAUGUAAAAACUUGCCCCUUGUAGAUAUCUAGGGGCUAUGGCUCAAGUGGGGCAAGAAAAGCUUUUGUUACAGAACAAACUCUGUGUCAGCUUUUUAAACGUCACAGUCACAGUCACACUGCAUAUGUCUAAUUCCCUUUAGUGGGAGAGCCCUGCUUCCUCAGAGUGUCUCUAAUGAGACUGUCAGAAUCCUAAUCUUUUUCAUCUUCUUAAUUCUGAGCCUAGUAAAGUGUCCAGCACAUAGUAGGUGUCCAAUAAAUGUGUGUCAAUCAGAAUAGAAGAAAAAUGAGCAAAACGGUACAAUCUCGCAAAAGGGAGAGGGACUAAUUGUACCUGGGUAAUUCAGGAAGCCUUCCCAGGACAAGCUGGGUGGUGGCCCUGGUAAUGGGGAGGGAGAGAUAGAGUUGGAAAAAAUAUAUAUAUAUCCAGAAAGCAGAAUAGCAAACUUACGGGCCAGAUAUAGGACCCACAAGGGUAGGAAUUUUUGUGUGAUUUUAGAAAGAAGUACCUUGCAAUACACUGACAGAUGUGGCUCCCGAUCUUUCUGGAGAAAAUGUGAGCAAGACUAAAAGAUUUCAUAAAAACAGAUGGAGGAAGCUAGCAUGACAGUUUCAAGGAGGCUGAAAAAUGAAUUUGGAAGGAUUUCUAACCAUGAGUACUAAAAAGAAAGAAUAAUGACUCCAGGUUUAAAGAUAUUUUCUCCUAAAUCAAUUUUUGCCAUAAAUUGUGUGGCUUCUCAGGAAAUUCAAUUCAAGAAACACACAAAGCACCUAACACAAUUACAGCUUUGUUUCCCUGGGCCUAGCGACCUGAUUCUAGGGUUACUUUCCUGGUUUUCACACUGAGUUCCAUGUCCCACGAGCCCCCUGAGUCCCAGACAAAUCAGGCCAGCUGUCACUGUACCUGGGAAAGAGAAUGAGGAACGCUCACAGGAAGAAGAUCAGUGCCAAAAUCAAGAUCAAACAGAUUGGUCUCAGGACAGAGCACAAGGGCUGGGCUGAGAAUGGACUGGAGGUGACAACUCUACAUCUGCUAUCAUUUUUACUCUGAGAUGUCUGCAUAAGGAGAUUCCUCACUCACUAAUAAAGUGGAUUUCUGGCUUCUGAAUGACCAGGUGCAUAGAAUCAAAUGCAGAAUGACAGUCAAAGAGGAAGAAUGCAUGCACAAGAAUCUUUGGGUAGCAACAGCAGAAUUGAGGACAAGAAAGGCAGGAGCCUCAUUUUGAAGGUCCUGCUCUUCCCCCACAAUUAUAUCUACAAAUAAUGAUCUGAAAGAGAAUGGUAGGCCAGGUACAGGACUCUUACAGCUAAUAGGAAAAACUGCUCUGCCACUGCUGUAACCCACAUGUAAGUGAUCACAAGCAGUUAAACACUGAGCCCCUGAAGCCCAAACUAACAACUUCCAACCUCACUUCAGUGACCAGAGGUACGCAUGACAGUAGGAGAUGGUGGGCAGCUCUGGAGGAGGAAGCACUAAGUCAUGGAGGAGGGUCUUCCACACAGCAAACAACCCAGAGUCACUCUUUGCCUACCCAAAGCAAGGAAAGUUUGAGGAACUGCUCCUGUCAUAGCACAGAGACAAUGACAUUUCUAAGGCAGGAAUUCUGCAGGAAACUUACCAGAAGCUAUCAUUAUCCUUAUUAGAAAGUCACAACUCAGGCAUUUUACUUAUUUGGAAAAUAACUGGC